AGAGGUGGUGCGCAUAACGGCUAUUGGUCAUACACAUAUCGAUCGCCAUAAGCGCAUGCUCGCAUAGUUGGUCGGGGCCCGAGUGCAGCGUUCCGUCGCGGAGCAAGGAGUCAGUCAUGCCGCUCUGUGCUGUACUGACAUGUAAAUCAAGGUCAGACUGCCCGAGCGGUUCCUCUUCACGACUCACCUUCCAUCCGUUCCCAGCCAAUGAAGAAAUAAGAGAGAAGUGGAUUGAUAUGACCGGUCGUGACGACUGGACCCCCACAAGGAACGAUUAUAUCUGCUCUAAGCACUUCAGAGACACUGAUUACUUCAUCAAGCGUUCAGGCAACCGUUAUCUGAAGACUGCUGCGAUUCCCUGCGAGUAUGUCGUCUACCGUGACCUGCCGCCCAUUGAAGACAUCCCAAGCACCUCUCGAGGAGUAAACAGGGAGGCAGUGGCACGCGACGAGCCUUUACCGCAGUUUAGCCGCGACUCCUCCCCUGAUCUCUCCCUUCCGAUCCAGGAAGCCGACACCACAUUCUCCGAAGACUUGGACAUUGACUGCAACGAGAAUGAUCUCGCUGCUUGGACGGCGUUCCAGCCGGAAAGCUUCUUUGCUCCCCCCACACCGAGCCCGGUGCUUGAUCGGCGUUCGUCUGCUGAAGCUGAUUCUAGCAGCUUUGAGGAAAAAUUCCGAGGGCGAGCGUCGUCAAUAAACCCAAGUCCUCCGUCAAGUUCACCUCACACUCCACUGCUUGGGAAUCGGGCUGAAAGUCCAGUAUUCGACUUAAGACGCCAUAUGCAAGGUUUACCAUCACCCCGACCUUCAACUCCACGAAAUAAUAUGGAAUUAAAGAAGGAAAUUAAGAAGCUAAUGAGUCGACGUAAGAUCUGCAAGAAGAAAAAGGCGAGAAGGUCCAGGCGAAGGAGUCGCCCAUCUACCUCGCAGCGUCGGUCGCGAGAGCCGAUCGCAACGACAGAACCACAAGGUGAAGUAAGAUCAUCAAGCGAAGAAUGAGAAGACGGUCUAUAGAUAAUAAUAAUAGUAACCUAAUGUAGAAUAUAAUGUUCACUUCUCCGUUAUCACUUCACUGUGCUCAGUAUGAGCGUCUUUUCGAUGUCCACUUAGUCCUUUCGGUCCUAGAGACCAACUAUCAGUUUCUUGUAGCUUAAGAAGAAAGGUGAAUGCACAUUUAUCCGAUCCGAACGCGUCGAACGAGCAUUUCGGAUUCGAAUUCGUUUCGUUCUACACGUUCGACGCGUCCAAUACGGAUAAAUUGGCGUCCACUUAAAAUGUUAUUGAUAUAACUCGGGAAUAAACCCGGGAUUGUGUAUAUUAUUGUUGUAUUGUGUCCCCCGCGAUCCCAAAUACAGUUGACGGGCGAAAAACCUUUACUCAUUGGUAAUUUCCUUAACAGAACUCAUUAAAAUAAAUAUUUUUACAUAAAUGCCUGCGUUAUAAGUUGUGCUAACGGAGAACCGGGCUACUUAACCUGAAAUAGAAAAAGUACAAACACCAUUACCUUUAUAAGACUAAUAGAAAAAAUGCUUUAGUUGGAAUUAAACGAUAUUCGGAGAUGCAGGGAAAACCCAAAGAAUUUAAUUAUAUACUUAAUGAGUAAUGUAGGUAUACGUAGCCCUAUAUACUGUAUAUAGAACACAGGUGCACACACCUGUAGUAAGAUUGUACUUAUAAUGGAUGGCCUAAGUCCGCAAAAAGACCCCAGAAGGGAGAGAAGAAUGCGGCGGAACAGUCAACGAAAUGUAGCAUCGAAUAUAUUGGAAGGAUACUGGGCCAUGCCACACGUAUUUAUUUUUUCCUACAUGCUUUGAAUGUUACUAUUAAGAUAAUAAGUAUACGACUACAUAUAAAUAAUGGAAGACUCGCAUUAGGCUAGAGCUCCAUUAAAAUCGAUGUCUAAUUAUUUAAUUCAAAUAUGGAAUGAAGGCAAAGCGAGACGGAAAGUUGUAUUAAAAGAUUGAAAGUACUAUUUUUGUAAAUAAAAUUAGAAUCAUAAAAUGAAGAAAAUAAAAAAUCGAAAGGUUGAUAACGAAUAUAAUUUAGAAAUAUCUGCAAGAUUUUCUUUUUAGGUAUUGUUAGUAUUGGAAUCUCAAAGAUUUUUUCUUGUAUUUAAUACUUAGUUUAUUUGAAAUACGUAAGAAGACGACGUCAGUAGACCACGUCAGAAGACCGAGUCAGAAGACCAUGUAAGACGACCACGUAAAAAGGGCUAAAAAUCUUUUCAGAAAUACAAUGUGAAGGUGUUUCAAACAGCUAGGAGUCAACAGGGUAGAGUGUAUCUCGCUUUGUCGAGCGACGGAUUAAUAUUAUAUCAAUUUUAAUUAAGAAUGAACAUAUUUAUUGGAUUGUCUUUACCUGUCUUGAUGUUAGCUAAUAAGUUUCGACUAAGUGAACGGAUAUUGUAUU